rnacentral:rRNA from 1 species
UACGUAGGGCGCAAGCGUUAUCCGGAAUUAUUGGGCGUAAAGAGCUCGUAGGCGGCUUGUCACGUCGGGUGUGAAAGCCCGGGGCUUAACCCCGGGUCUGCAUUCGAUACGGGCUGGCUAGAGUGUGGUAGGGGAGAUCGGAAUUCCUGGUGUAGCGGUGAAAUGCGCAGAUAUCAGGAGGAACACCGAUGGCGAAGGCGGAUCUCUGGGCCAUUACUGACGCUGAGGAGCGAAAGCGUGGGGAGCGAACAGG